rnacentral:lncRNA from 10 species
CAUGCAUCUCCCUUUCUCUGCCAAACUCUUCCUUGAUGACACACAAGAUCCGAGGAUGAAUGAUUGCCCUCUUGAACUCAUUACACUUUCCUUGCCUAGAAUCUGGGGACAGAAUGAAGGCUCUGUCUUCUACUCCAUCAUCUUGUUGGCAUCACUCCUGGAAAAGAUAUUCCAGUGCAAAGUUGAGUGUGGAUCAUCUUUAGGGAUGUAAUCUCGACUUCCCUUCGGAGAAAAGGAGAAAUACCACAUUUGUUGGAAGCCAGUCUCCAAGAAAGUGUGAACCACAACCACCACAGGAAAAGAAAAACUCAGACUCAGGAGGAGAGACGGCAGCAAAACUCCAUUAAAAAAUUUUUUUUUAUUAUUAUUUGAGACAGAGUCUCGCUCUGUCACCCAGGCUGGAGUGCAGUGGCGUGAUCUUGGCUCACUGCAACCUCCGACUCCCAGGUUCAAGCAAUUCUUCUGCCUCAGCCUCCCGAGUAGCUGGGACUACAGGUGUGCACCACCACACCUGACUAAUUUUUGUAUUUUUUUUUUUUAGUAGAAAUGGGGUUUCACCAUAUUGGCCAGUCUGAUCUUGAACUCCUGACCUUGUGAUCUACCUGCCUAGGCCUCCCAAAGUGCUGGGAUUACAGGUGUGAGCCACUGUGCCAGGCCACAUAGCUCCAUUUAACACUCCUGAAGCUAAAGUGACACCACCAAGAAGCAACUCAGAAAAACUAACCUAUUUUCUGCUGGUAACUUAUAUAAGUGUCAAACUAUAAAUUUGAUCAGCAACAACAAAAAUCUACCCCGUUAUCUUUAUGCUUUCUAUAAAGUUCUUUUCUAUAUAGGGAUUUAUUAAUUUUGUCACUAGGUGGUUUAAUGAUCAUAGAAAUUACUGAAAUGUAUGUGUCUGAUCUGAGCCUCAAAGUUGAGGUAAUUUUGUAUCAGACCAAAAAAAAUGGCUGACCAAAAUUUCUUUUUAAUUUGUAAUAACUUUGAAGUGUCUGAAGAAAAAAAAAUUCAAGAAUACAAA